UCCGGGUUCUGCAGGCCCCACGAGGCUCGUCGCUGCCGUCCCGACACAUCACCAUGGCGUUGCAAAAUUCAUAAGCAGGCAGACACUGGCCGCUGUUGCAUCUGAACGCGCCCUUCGGGCACUCUGCAAUACGUACAAGCCGUCCUCGUCCUCCCCGUCCGGACAGUCCUGGUUCCCGUCGCAAACGCCGGCUUUCGAUACGCAGACUCCGCUUCUCCAGCACCUGAACGCCUGGCUCGGACAUCGUUCGGAUCUGCAUUCCUCGUCCGAUCCGUCGGCGCAGUCCGGACGACCAUCGCAGACGAAGAACCAGCUGAUGCACUGCCCGGUACCGCGACACUGGAAGGUCCCGGGUGCACAUCCGGUCCUCUGCGCCCCGCAGGCGAAACUUCCGUUACCGCGGAUCGCGCAGUCGCAGACACCCUCCAGACAUCGCGAACCCGAAUCCGCCAUCUGGCAUUCUAUGUCCGCGGUGCAUGCCAGGCCCAAACUUAUCGCCAUUGUGCUUUCCGGCUCGUGUCUGUCCGUCUUGAUCGGUGCUUUUUGGGGAAAAUUCAACGGGUGAACGAUCUUGACUUUGGGCGAAAGUCGAUAUUUUUUUACAAUUUUCAUACCAGACAGUCGGGCAUUGGGUAUUUGUCAAAUUAUUGUAUUCGUAAGCUGCGAAGAUCUUUCGUUUGAAAUACGAAUGCAGAAAAUACUGGGAUUAUAAACAGAAACUUGGAUGCCUAGACGCUUCGUUUUGAAUCGCUUCGAAAUUGUUGAAAGUCUUAUAUUUACAUAGAUUCGUUCGAUUUUACACUACGAGAGCUUGAUAAUUUUAUUCGCAAUUGAUUAUUUUGUAUAAAUUUAUUGAAAUACUUUUUUUCAACACGUUGGCAUCGUUGAAAAUUUUUUAUUUUACAAUACUGGAUUGAUACUAGUUACGAUCAACAAACAAAGUAGACAGAAAACAACUGUUUCAUUGGGCACGGUAGAAAAAUAUAAGUUUACUGAAUAAAAUGAGCUAUCGCAGAGUGAAAUCAUACGAAUCCACUGGAUUUUUAACCAUUUCGAAUCGAUUUCAAACGAAGCGUCGAUAUCAAAGCGUUUCUUUAUACCGAAAUCCAGAAUUUUUUGUUUCUUUUACUUUUUCUUUAUUUUCAAAGUGAUCUUCGUAGCUUACGAAAAUAAUAAUUUCAUGAAACAAUCCUUGCAAGUGAUAAUUUUUUUUGUCAAGAAAUUACGAAACGUCGUCAAUGCAAUUCCUGCGGCACAACAUUUUGCAAUCGUAUCACGAUGUUAAUGAAAGCAAGCAAUUUCUUGAACCAUUCCUGUCACUUCGAAAAAUGCCCAACGGUUAAAAUGAUUUUAAAAAAUUUCAGGCAACGCCUCUCGACUCCGUUUACCCGAUGUGGAAGUCGACGUAGUUUGUAAAAUCUCGGUAGUCUCUGCAGCUUCGACGACGACAGCUUCGUUGUCGGCACCAGGAAAUUGGUUCGGUGCCGGAGUUUCCGGAGCUGACUGAACGAGGCUUGGUAGAACCGUCGUAGUUACCGCAGGAAAAAUUCAACGCCGUGACUCGAGCUUCGUGACGUGAAAUGAUACCUGUUUCCUCCUCCUCGUCGUCGUCGUCGUCGUCAGCGUCAUGGAUGACGAUCGUUUCCUCCUCCACGCUCUCCGGAACGUCGUUGCUCGACUGAAGAGGGACUUGCUGUGGUCUGACCAGGAAAUCCGGCCGACAGACGUCGCCGUCCCGACGCAUCGGCGAGGUGCAUUGACAUCGUCCGAAUAGAUCAGGGAUUAUGAAAUCGCAAUGAGUGUCGCUGUCCCAGAGAUGACAGUGCGAGUGGCUGUAACAAACGUCGCCAGGCCGAGCGGCUGGACGGAAAUUACGAGAUUACACGGGAGAAACGCUCGAGUUUAUCAUAUAUGUACGAUGUGAAUAUGUAUGAGGGAGAAGACAUUGCGCGCAGAGACGUGACGAAUUAAUUAACUGCGCCAACGUCCGAGGAAGUCGGCCGUAUUAUCAUCCUGCGUAAGCAUUUAAUAAAUAUUUAUCAUCUGGUGGGUGGGAACGGGGUCGCUUAAUUAUUAUGAUUCGCGAAUCGCGCACUGCACUGCGUGAUACAUUUCGAAUGUUGUGUUUGCACGAGUCGGUGAACCGAGGGCCAGGUCGUUACUUGAAAUGAAAACUCGAAGCAACCUAUAAGCCGUCUGCCUACCUAUCGCUUCAUAAAUUAUGGCAGAAGACGAACACAAUAUAGACGUCUAAUGAUACUUGGCUACCGUUCGCAAUCCUUAGUCGUGCAAAGUACAAGGUACACUGUUAAGAAUUAUUGUGCAUUUUAUACUGUGCGAAAGAGUUGUCAAUUUACGAAAUAAGGUUGCAAGUUUAAAAAUUUGGCGCGGUGACCUAAAUGACUAUGUAUAUGUCUUAGAUAUAGAAUGAAAGUUUUUAAUUUUAGUAAAUUUUAUAGAAGGAAGACGGAAAAAUUAUUUCAAUUUACUAAAUUGUGUAGCAAAUUCAUUUUAUUUGUAAAUUGAAUUUAUGGUGAACUCAUUGUUCCGUAUCCCAGUAAAAUUUCAAAAUACAGCGUAGCAAGUUCCGUACAGAAAUUUUUAACAUUAAACGAAACCCUGACUAUAACGUGAACUUAUACCACACAGGGUUGAGUAGAAAUUGCAAAAGAACAAGGGAAGGAUUUGGAUAAAGAUCACACGAAGACACAUUUGCGUACGAAUUGCAUAUUACCUUCCUGAUCGUGAUCGGGUUUCUUGACCAGGAAAAAAAGAAAUUUCCGCAGUAAAGCUACGUCGCUUAAAAUUUCUACUUCGAGUUUAGUCGGAGCCUUGGUGAAGUACGGAUGGUAAAAUUGAUAUACUAUACUCACGUCCGAGACACGUGUGUUUUCGGAACUGCAAAUAACCUUCCUCGCAUCUGCAGACUCCAGCUAGACAGUUGCUGUGAGCUACCUUCAUGGCGCAUUGAUCUUUCACGAGACAAUCGUAGCCCAGAAGCGUUGCUGCAAUGAUAAAUCUGCGUUGUAUUGUUAUACGGCUAGUUUUUAAAUCAUUGAAUCGUCGCAGACCAAGUCGUUCGAGUAUUAGCUAACGCUACAAUAGGGGUAAACCAUUCGGAGAAACGUUAUCAAAUGUUACUCUGUAGUAUUAGGCAUUCCAGGCAAGCGUUAGCUAGCAUAGAAAAUUCAAAGUGCGUGCUCAAAGCCA